CGAGUGGGGAGGGGCUCAGGCAGCAAGUGGGGCGGGGCUCAGGCUUGCUCCCCCGCCGGGCAGCCGAGGCUUCCCAGGGCGGUGGGUGGAUCCCGGCGCAGGCGUCCUGCGCGCUUGGCGCCACCUCUGAGCAUGGCUGCGGCGCUAAACAGUCAGGUUUUGCGGAGGCUGCGGAUUCUCCUGUCGGCUCUGAAGCCCGGGAACCAGGUCUCGCGUGCCAGGCCUGCAGCUGCGUUCGGCACCUCAGUAACCUCUGCCAAAGUGGCUGUGAAUGGUGUCCAUUUGCAUUAUCAGCAGACGGGAGAGGGAGAACAUGCAGUCCUCCUGCUUCCUGGAAUGCUGGGAAGUGGAGAGACUGAUUUUGGACCCCAGAUCCAGAACCUGAAUAAGAAGCUCUUCACAGUGGUUGCCUGGGAUCCUCGAGGAUAUGGACAUUCCAGACCCCCAGAUCGAGACUUCCCAGCGGACUUUUUUGAAAGGGAUGCAAAAGAUGCUGUUGAUUUGAUGAAGACGCUGAAGUUUCAGAAGGUGUCUCUGCUGGGGUGGAGUGAUGGUGGCAUCACCUCUCUCAUUGCGGCUGCAAAAUACCCAUCAUACAUCAACAAGAUGGUGAUCUGGGGAGCCAAUGCCUACGUGACUGAUGAAGAUGAGAAGAUUUAUCAGGGUAUCCGAGAUGUUUCUAAGUGGAGUGAGAAAACAAGAAAACCUCUCGAAACCUUAUAUGGCUAUGACUACUUUGCCAAAACCUGUGAGAAGUGGGUGGAUGGCAUAAAUCAAUUCAAACAUCUCCCAGAUGGGAAUAUCUGUGGGCACUUGCUGCCGCUGGUUCAGUGCCCCACCUUGAUCGUGCACGGGGAGAAGGAUCCGUUGGUCCCACGGUUCCACGCCGACUUCAUACACAAGCACGUGAGAGGGUCGCGGGUUCCAGGAAAACACAAGGGCACAAGAAGCCAGGAUCUGUGAGUAACCGGAAACGAAAGGAAUUCUUAGAUGAACCUCUUACAGUUUCUAGGAAGACAAAUGUGCUAAUAGGUUGCAUCUGAUGCCAGAAGGCAAGCACAACCUGCACCUACGUUUUGCAAAUGAAUUCAAUAAGUUAGCAGAAGACUUCUUGCUGGGAAAACACACCUGAGAACAGCAGGGACCUGGGGAUUCCUUACUGUGGGGCUCGAGCCUGUUGUUGCCUUAGAAACACACUGCUGUCCCUCCUAAGCUCACCUGCCUCCCCAUGCUUUCUAUACCUCCCUGCAAACUGCUCCUGGUCACAUAGAUAUAAUGACAUAUUAAAAUGUUUUCUAGUUCUAAGUGCUACAAAAAUUAAAGCUGAUUUUUUUAACAUUA